AUUGAACGCUGGCGGCAUGCCUUACACAUGCAAGUCGAGCGGCAGCGCGGGGGCAACCCUGGCGGCGAGCGGCGAACGGGUGAGUAAUGCAUCGGAACGUGUCCUCUUGUGGGGGAUAACCAGUCGAAAGACUGUCUAAUACCGCACGAGAUCGAGAGAUGAGAGCGGGGGACCGCAAGGACUCGCGCGAGAGGAGCGGCCGAUGCCGGAUUAGCUAGGUGGUGGGGUAAUGGCCUACCAAGGCGACGAGCCGUAGCUGGUUUGAGAGAACGACCAGCCACACUGGGACUGAGACACGGCCCAGACUCCUACGGGAGGCAGCAGUGGGGAAUUUUGGACAAUGGGGGCAACCCUGAUCCAGCCAUGCCGCGUGUGUGAAGAAGGCCUUCGGGUUGUAAAGCACUUUCGGACGGAACGAAAUCGCGCGGGCGAACAUCCCGCGUGGAUGACGGUACCGUAAGAAGAAGCACCGGCUAACUACGUGCCAGCCGCCGCCGUAA
rnacentral:rRNA from 1 species